rnacentral:rRNA from 1 species
GGCGGAUUGGUAAGUCAGGGGUGAAAUCCCACAGCUCAACUGUGGAACUGCCUUUGAUACUGUCAGUCUAGAGUAUAGUUGAAGUUGGCGGAAUGUGUCAUGUAGCGGUGAAAUGCUUAGAUAUGACACAGAACACCGAUCGCGAAGGCAGCUAGCUAAGCUAUAACUGACGCUCAUGCACGAAAGCGUGGGGAUCAAACAGGAUUAGAUACCCUGGUAGUCCACGCUGUAAACGAUGAUUACUCGAUGUUGGCGAUACACAGUCAGCGUCUGAGCGAAAGCAAUAAGUAAUCCACCUGGGGAGUACGAUCGCAAGAUUGAAACUCAAAGGAAUUGACGGGGGCCCGCACAAGCGGAGGAGCAUGUGGUUUAAUUCGAUGAUACGCGAGGAACCUUACCUGGGCUCGAACGUAAGAUGACUGUAGGUGAAAGCUUACAUCUCUUCGGAGCAUUUUACGAGGUGCUGCAUGGUUGUCGUCAGCUCGUGCCGUGAGGUGUCGGGUUAAGUCCCAUAACGAGCGCAACCCCUACCUUUAGUUGCCAUCGGGUCAUGCUGGGGACUCUAAAGGAACUGCCUACGCAAGUAGUGAGGAAGGCGGGGAUGACGUCAAAUCAGCACGGCCCUUACGUCCAGGGCUACACACGUGCUACAAUGGCCGAUACAGAGGGCAGCUACCUGGUGACAGGAUGCAAAUCUCCAAAGUCGGUCUCAGUUCGGAUCGGAGUCUGCAACCCGACUCCGUGAAGUUGGAUUCGCUAGUAAUCGCGCAUCAGCCAUGGCGCGGUGAAUACGUUCCCGGGCCUUGUACACACCGCCCGUCAAGCCAUGGAAGCUGGGGGGACCUAAAGUCGAUAACCGCAAGGAGUCGCCUAGGGUAAAACCAGUGACUGGGGCUAAGUCGUAACAAGGUAGCCG